rnacentral:tRNA from 4 species
GCUGGCGUAGCUCAAUUGGCAGAGCAACUGACUUGUAAUCAGUAGGUUGGGGGUUCAAGUCCUCUCGCCAGCUCCA